GAGUUUGAUCGUGGCUCAGAACGAACGCUGGCGGCAUGCCUAACACAUGCAAGUCGAACGGGAUCCGAGCUUCGGUUCGGUGAGAGUGGCGGACGGGUGAGUAACGCGUGGGAACCUGCCCAGUGGUGGGGGAUAACUGCGGGAAACUGCAGCUAAUACCGCAUGAGCCCGAGAGGGGAAAGAUUUAUCGCCAUUGGAGGGGCCCGCGUUCGAUUAGGUAGUUGGUGAGGUAAAGGCUCACCAAGCCGACGAUCGAUAGCUGAUCUGAGAGGAUGAUCAGCCACACUGGGACUGAGAUACGGCCCAGACUCCUACGGGAGGCAGCAGUGGGGAAUAUUGGACAAUGGGGGCAACCCUGAUCCAGCAAUGCCGCGUGAGUGAUGAAGGCCUUC
rnacentral:rRNA from 1 species